AUUGAACGCUGGCGGCAUGCCUUACACAUGCAAGUCGAACGGUAACAGGUCUUCGGAUGCUGACGAGUGGCGAACGGGUGAGUAAUACAUCGGAACGUGCCCGAUCGUGGGGGAUAACGGAGCGAAAGCUUUGCUAAUACCGCAUACGAUCUACGGAUGAAAGCGGGGGUUCUUCGGACCUCGCGCGGACGGAGCGGCCGAUGGCAGAUUAGGUAGUUGGUGGGAUAAAAGCUUACCAAGCCGACGAUCUGUAGCUGGUCUGAGAGGAUGAUCAGCCACACUGGGACUGAGACACGGCCCAGACUCCUACGGGAGGCAGCAGUGGGGAAUUUUGGACAAUGGGGGCAACCCUGAUCCAGCCAUGCCGCGUGCAGGAUGAAGGCCUUCGGGUUGUAAACUGCUUUUGUACGGAACGAAAAGACUCUGGUUAAUACCUGGGGUCCAUGACGGUACCGUAAGAAUAAGCACCGGCUAACUACGUGCCAGCAGCCGCGGUAACAC
rnacentral:rRNA from 1 species